UGAGUUUGAUCAUGGUUCAGGAUGAACGCUGGCGGCGUGCCUAAUACAUGCAAGUCGAACGAAACUUCUUUUAUCACCGAGUGCUUGCACUCACCGAUAAAGAGUUGAGUGGCGAACGGGUGAGUAACACGUGGGCAACCUGCCCAAAAGAGGGGGAUAACACUUGGAAACAGGUGCUAAUACCGCAUAACCAUAGUUACCGCAUGGUAACUAUGUAAAAGGUGGCUAUGCUACCGCUUUUUGGAUGGGCCCGCGGCGCAUUAGCUAGUUGGUGGGGUAAAGGCUUACCAAGGCAAUGAUGCGUAGCCGAACUGAGAGGUUGAUCGGCCACAUUGGGACUGAGACACGGCCCAAACUCCUACGGGAGGCAGCAGUAGGAAUCUUCCACAAUGGGCGAAAGCCUGAUGGAGCACGCCGCGUGGGUGAAGAAGGUCUUCGGAUCGUAAAACCCUGUUGUUAGAGAGAAAGUGCGUGAGAGUAACUGUUCACGUUUCGACGGUAUCUAACCAGAAAGCCACGGCUAACUACGUGCCAGCAGCCGCGGUAAUACGUAGGUGGCAAGCGUUAUCCGGAUUUAUUGGGCGUAAAGGGAACGCAGGCGGUCUUUUAAGUCUGAUGUGAAAGCCUUCGGCUUAACCGGAGUAGUGCAUUGGAAACUGGGAGACUUGAGUGCAGAAGAGGAGAGUGGAACUCCAUGUGUAGCGGUGAAAUGCGUAGAUAUAUGGAAGAACACCAGUGGCGAAAGCGGCUCUCUGGUCUGUAACUGACGCUGAGGUUCGAAAGCGUGGGUAGCAAACAGGAUUAGAUACCCUGGUAGUCCCCGCCGUAAACGAUGAAUGCUAAGUGUUGGAGGGUUUCCGCCCUUCAGUGCUGCAGCUAACGCAAUAAGCAUUCCGCCUGGGGAGUACGACCGCAAGGUUGAAACUCAAAAGAAUUGACGGGGGCCCGCACAAGCGGUGGAGCAUGUGGUUUAAUUCGAAGCAACGCGAAGAACCUUACCAGGUCUUGACAUCUUUUGACAAUCCUAGAGAUAGGACUUUCCCUUCGGGGACAAAAUGACAGGUGGUGCAUGGUUGUCGUCAGCUCGUGUCGUGAGAUGUUGGGUUAAGUCCCGCAACGAGCGCAACCC
rnacentral:rRNA from 1 species